AAACAACCCUCUCACCAUGCACUAAAAUAGAAACCAAUGACUUGUGUUCCAAUUCUAAAUCUACCACUUACCAACCGUGUCACCUUAGCCCUCCUGAGUUUUAUAAAACAAAAAUAAUUGUAAACGUCUAGUCACCUUCUGUAGUUGUUGUGGAAAUCAAAUGAAAUAACACAAGUGAUGUGUUUUGUAAAUUUGGCAAGUUUUAUCCAACAUAAGGACUAUGAGUCAUUUCACACAUUAUAACUCAGUUUCUCUACAGGUAAAAUGGGGAGAACGACCCUGGCCUCAGAGGAGGGCUGUGUAUAGAGAACUGGCUAGCAUGACAAAGUGUGCUGAAGACAAUAAAUACUCCUCAUGGUUGUAAGUCAUUGUUAAGCCGAUGAACUUGACCUGCAUAUCAUCAUACAGAACAGAGACUCUAGUUGGGACUCUCCAAAAAUUCUUUGACGUGCUGCCCAGUAAGCACUGGAAGGAAAGGCAAUGCCUGCCUGCUAGAAGGGCUCAGCCCCCAGGAGAAGACAAAUGACUUCAUGACCCCCUCACCCCGAAGUUAGUUAGAGCUGCAAAUCGAGAAUGGAAGAGGUCAAAAGGGGACACAACCCAUCUCUGGAAUGGGUAAGAGGAUAGUAGUAGUUGAGCAGGAAGGUCUGCCCAGGAUGGAGUCCUAUUUAGUGCAUCCAGGGGCACAAGGCCACUGCACAUUCACAUCAAUUCAAAAAAAUGCAAACUGUGUUCUGAUUAUCCGUCAGUGCACAUUUUUUUUGGGGAGACACAGACUAAAUAUGGAUAAUGAUUACGUUAGACUAUCAUCCCUGACUCUUGUUUAUGCCUGUUUCUAAUAACUGUUUACUGAGUUCCCCUCGGAGCCAGGCUCUGUGCCUGGGGAUGGAGCUGAAGCAAAGGCAGCGUGAUUCCUCUUCCCAGGGAGCACACAUCUCCAUCAGGGACAGACAGGGCGCAGAUGAAGAGAGGAUUUUUGUGGACCUGAAAAUGGACAAGGUGACUAGAAACCCGGAAAAUUGGAUCAAAGGCCAACAUAGCAAGCCCAACACCACCUUUGGGAAAUAGGGAUAUCAAAUUACAAAUUUUACUAAAAAAGAAAGGGGCAGGGAAAACAACUCCUAAGAUGAAUUUGGAAAGAGAACUGGGCCACACAAACUUACCAAAGCCAGUGCCCCAAGAUUGACAGUUGAUCUGCGCCUGUAAAUCAACCGUGCUGAAGUGGACAGAUCUCCAAGUGGUGAACACAUGUCCAGAAUUUAUCACAUACGCUUUCUGAAGAAAUGUACCACGAAAGCUUUGGUGCCCACUGCAAAAAACCCAAACCCAAAUCCAAACCAAACACUUAAACUACAUUGAUAUCAUGAGAAUAAAACUAGAUGUUGAGGCA
rnacentral:lncRNA from 1 species